GAUGAACGCUGGCGGCGUGCCUAAUACAUGCAAGUCGAGCGAACAGACGAGGAGCUUGCUCCUCUGACGUUAGCGGCUGACGGGUGAGUAACACGUGGAUAACCUACCUAUAAGACUGGGAUAACUUCGGGAAACCGGAGCUAAUACCGGAUAAUAUAUUGAACCGCAUGGUUCAAUAGUGAAAGACGGUUUUGCUGUCACUUAUAGAUGGAUCCGCGCCGCAUUAGCUAGUUGGUAAGGUAACGGCUUACCAAGGCGACGAUGCGUAGCCGACCUGAGAGGGUGAUCGGCCACACUGGAACUGAGACACGGUCCAGACUCCUACGGGAGGCAGCAGUAGGGAAUCUUCCGCAAUGGGCGAAAGCCUGACGGAGCAACGCCGCGUGAGUGAUGAGGGUCUUCGGAUCGUAAAACUCUGUUAUUAGGGAAGAACAAAUGUGUAAGUAACUAUGCACGUCUUGACGGUACCUAAUCAGAAAGCCACGGCUAACUACGUG
rnacentral:rRNA from 1 species